CCUACGGGUGGCAGCAGUGAGGAAUAUUGGUCAAUGGGAGAGAUCCUGAACCAGCCAAGCCGCGUGAGGGAAGACGGCCCUAUGGGUUGUAAACCUCUUUUGUCGGAGAACAAAACCCGGGACGUGUCCCGGACUGCGUGUAUCCGAAGAAAAAGCAUCGGCUAACUCCGUGCCAGCAGCCGCGGUAAUACGGAGGAUGCGAGCGUUAAUCGGAAUUACUGGGCGUAAAGGGUGUGCAGGCGGCUGAGUAAGACAGAUGUGAAAUCCCCGGGCUUAACCUGGGAACCGCAUAUGUGACUGCUUGGCUAGAGUGCGUCAGAGGGAGGUGGAAUUCCACGUGUAGCAGUGAAAUGCGUAGAUAUGUGGAAGAACACCGAUGGCGAAGGCAGCCUCCUGGGACGCAACUGACGCUCAUACACGAAAGCGUGGGGAGCAAACAGGAUUAGAUACCCGGGUAGUC
rnacentral:rRNA from 1 species